GCGGGGUUGGUAUAUCGGUAUUACAAGGCCUUCCCAAGGCUUUAAGGCGGGUUCGACUCCCGUACCCCGCU
rnacentral:tRNA from 1 species